UGUAGCGUACCUACUAGCCUACGACGGGUACGGGUUGUGAGAGCAAGAGCCCGGAGAUGGAUUCUGAGACACGAAUCCAGGCCCUACGGGGUGCAGCAGGCGCGAAAACUUUACAAUGCCGGCAACGGCGAUAAGGGGACCUCGAGUGCCAGGUUACAAAUCUGGCUGUCGUGAUGCCUAAAAAGCAUUGCAUAGCAAGGGCCGGGCAAGACCGGUGCCAGCCGCCGCGGUAACACCGGCGGCUCGAGUGGUAACCGUUAUUAUUGGGUCUAAAGGGUCUGUAGCCGGCCGGAUAAGUCUCUUGAGAAAUCUGGCAGCUUAACUGUCAGGCUUUCAGGAGAUACUGUCUGGCUCGAGGCCGGGAGAGGUGAGAGGUACUUCAGGGGUAGGGGUGAAAUCUUGUAAUCCUUGAAGGACCACCAGUGGCGAAGGCGUCUCACCAGAACGGACCUGACGGCAAGGGACGAAAGCUAGGGGCACGAACCGGAUUAGAUACCCGGGUAGUCCUAGCCGUAAACGAUACUCGCUAGGUGUCGGCCACGGUGCGACCGUUGUCGGUGCCGUAGGGAAGCCGUGAAGCGAGC
rnacentral:rRNA from 1 species